CCUACGGGGGGCUGCAGUAGGGAAUCUUCCGCAAUGGACGAAAGUCUGACGGAGCAACGCCGCGUGAGCGAAGAAGGUCUUCGGAUCGUAAAGCUCUGUUGGUAGGGAAGAACAAGUACGGGAGGAAAUGACCGUACCUUGACGGUACCUGACGAGGAAGCCACGGCUAACUACGUGCCAGCAGCCGCGGUAAUACGUAGGUGGGAAGCGUUGUGCGGAAUUAUUGGGCGUAAAGCGCGCGCAGGCGGUCGUUUAAGGUUGAAGGAAAAUCUUGCGGCUCAACCGGCAGCGGUCAUUGGAAACUGGGAGACUUCAGUGCAGAAGAGGCAAGCGGGAUUCCACGUGUUGCGGUGAAAUGCGUCGAUUUUGGGAGGAACACCAGUUGCGAAGGCGGCUCUCUGGACUGUAACUGACGCUGAGGCACGAAAGCGUGGGGAGCGAACAGGAUUAGAUACCCUGGUAGUC
rnacentral:rRNA from 1 species